rnacentral:rRNA from 1 species
AUGUCGUUGAACGACAUGGGGCGCCGCCUGGCCCUGGUCAUCGUCUGCUGCAUCCUCCUCUCGUCGCUCCGCACGGCGGCCGCGACGGGAAAGACCGGCCGGAUCACGGUGUACUGGGGCCAGACCUCCAGCGAGGGGUCGCUACGCGAGGCCUGCGAGAGCAACCUCUACUCCACCGUCAUCCUCUCCUUCCUCACCAACUUCGGCCGCGGCAAGUACGAGCUCAACCUCGCCGGCCACCCCUGGAAGGCCGUCGGGCCCCACGUCAAGUACUGCCAGUCCAAGAAGAUCCUCGUCCUCCUCGCCAUCGGCGGCGGCAUCGGCAAGUACUCCCUCGCCUCAAGGGCCGACGCCAAGAAGGUGGCGGAGCACCUCUGGAACUACUACCUCGGCGGGAAGUCCCGCGACCGGCCGUUCGGCAACGCCGUGCUGGACGGCAUCGACUUCGACAUCGAGCUCGGGAGCCGCGCCCACUACGACGACCUCGCCAGGCACCUCAAGGCCUACGGCGACAGGAAGGGCGCGAAGAAGGUGUUCGUCACGGCGGCGCCGCAGUGCCCGUUCCCGGACAGGAUGCUGGGGGAGGCGCUCCGGACGGGGCUCUUCGACCGCGUGCACGUCCAGUUCUACAACAACCCCGUGUGCAGCUACAGGGCCGGCAACGUGGCCGCCUUCAAGAAGGCGUGGAAGGACUGGACCAAGAGCCUGCCCAACAGCUCCGUCUACCUCGGCCUGCCGGCGGCGCGAGGGGCGUCCAACAAGGGCAGUGGCUACGUGGAUCCGGGGACGCUGGUGUCCAAGGUGCUGCCCAUCGUGCAGCGCUCCAACAACUACGGAGGCAUCAUGCUCUGGAGCAGGUACUUUGACGUCAAGUCCGGAUACAGUAGGCGCGUCAAGAAAUUCGUCUGA